rnacentral:rRNA from 1 species
UACGGAAGGUCCGGGCGUUAUCCGGAUUUAUUGGGUUUAAAGGGAGCGUAGGCCGGAGAUUAAGCGUGUUGUGAAAUGUAGACGCUCAACGUCUGCACUGCAGCGCGAACUGGUUUCCUUGAGUACGCACAAAGUGGGCGGAAUUCGUGGUGUAGCGGUGAAAUGCUUAGAUAUCACGAAGAACUCCGAUUGCGAAGGCAGCUCACUGGAGCGCAACUGACGCUGAAGCUCGAAAGUGCGGGUAUCGAACAGGAUUAGAAACCCCGGUAGUGCUGACUGACU